CAAACCAUCGUGGGCUGUUACA
rnacentral:miRNA from 1 species